rnacentral:rRNA from 1 species
GAUUCUGGCUCAGAACGAACGCUGGCGGCAGGCCUAACACAUGCAAGUCGAACGAUAAGCCACCUUCGGGUGGUGGACAGUGGCAGACGGGUGAGUAACGCGUGGGAACGUGCCUUUCGGUUCGGGAUAACCCAGGGAAACUUGGGCUAAUACCGGAUACGCCCUUCGGGGGAAAGAUUCAUUGCCGAAAGAUCGGCCCGCGUCGGAUUAGCUUGUUGGUGGGGUAAUGGCCUACCAAGGCGACGAUCCGUAGCUGGUCUGAGAGGAUGACCAGCCACACUGGGACUGAGACACGGCCCAGACUCCUACGGGAGGCAGCAGUGGGGAAUAUUGGACAAUGGGCGAAAGCCCUGAUCCAGCCAUGCCGCGUGGGUGAAGAAGGCCUUAGGGUUGUAAACCCCUUUCAGCGGGGACGAUAAUGACGGUACCCGCAGAAGAAGUCCCGGCUAACUCCGUGCCAGCCGCUGC